GUGGGGAAUCUUAGACAAUGGGGGAAACCCUGAUCUAGCCAUGCCGCGUGAGCGAUGAAGGCCUUAGGGUUGUAAAGCUCUUUCAGCUGGGAAGAUAAUGACGGUACCAGCAGAAGAAGCCCCGGCUAACUCCGUGCCAGCAGCCGCGGUAAUACGGAGGGGGCUAGCGUUGUUCGGAAUUACUGGGCGUAAAGCGCGCGUAGGCGGACCAGAAAGUUGGAGGUGAAAUCCCAGGGCUCAACCUUGGAACUGCCUUCAAAACUCCUGGUCUGGAGUUCGGGAGAGGUGAGUGGAAAUCCGAGUGUAGAGGUGAAAUUCGUAGAUAUUCGGAGGAACACCAGUGGCGAAGGCGGCUCACUGGCUCGAUACUGACGCUGAGGUGCGAAAGCGUGGGGAGCAAACAGGAUUAGAAACCCUUGUAGUCC
rnacentral:rRNA from 1 species